rnacentral:lncRNA from 1 species
GCCAGGAGUAGAGCCAAGAGUAGAACUAAGAGCAGGACCAGGAGUGGGGCCAGAACUAUGUAGGGCCAGGGGUAGAAGUAGGAGUAGAACCAAGAGUAGGGCCAAGAGCAGAACUAAGAGUAGAGUCUACUCUUAGUUCUACUCCUGGCCCUACUCUUAGUUCUACUCCUGGCCCUACUCUUAGUUCUACUCCUGGCUCUACUCCUAGUUCUACUCUUGGUUCUACUCCUAGUCCUACUCUUGGCUCUACUCUUAGUUCUACUCUUGGCUCUACUCUUAGUUCUACCCCUGGCCCUACAUAGUCCUGGCCCCACUCCUGGCCCCGCUCUUGGCUCUACUCUUAGUUCUACUCCUGGCCCUACGUACUCCUGGCCCCACUCUUGGCCCUACUCCCAGCCCUACUCUUGGCCCUACUCUUAGUUCUACUCCUGGCCCUACUCCCAGCCCUACUCCUGCCCUACUCUUGGCCCUACUCCUGCCCUACUCUUGGCUCUAUUCUUAUUUCUACCCCUGGCCCUACGUAGUCCUGGCCCCACUCCUGGCCCUACUCUUGGUUUAUUGGCCCUACUCCUGCCCUUCUCUUAGUUCUACUCCUGGCCCUACUCUUGGCUCUACUCCCAGCCCUGCUCUUGGCCCUUCUCCUGCCCUGCUCUCAGCUCUGCUCUUAGCUCUACUCUUGGCCAUGCUCUCAGCUCUACUCUCAGCUCAGUUCUUAGCUCUACACUUGGCUCUGCCCUUAGUUCUACUCUUGGCCCUACCCUCAGCUCAGCUCUAAGCUCAGCUCUUAGCUCUACUCCUAGCUCAGCUUUUAGCUCUACUCAGUUCUGCUCUUAGCUCAGCUCUUGGCCCUACUCUUAGCUCUACUUCCAGCUCAGCUCUUAGCUCUGUUCUUAGCUCUGCUCUUAGUUCUACUCUUGGCCCUACUCAGCUCUGCUCUUAACUCCACU